CCUUAACGUCUUCGGGCCUCAGUUCUCUCGUCUGUAACGUGGGCGGAAGAUAGCUGCUCUCCCUCCCUCUUAGACGUUUGCCUCGCGUUGGAGCCACCCAAGUUCUUGGCGCGUAUUAAAAGCACCUAAUAAAUAACAGUAUUUGAGCGCUCACUGCAGGCGGAACACCAUCCUGGGCCCAAUAAGAAGCAAAAAACCCAGUCCCUGUCCCCUCUAAUGAGGGAGCCGCGAUGACACAAAUCGAAAAAUACAUACAACAGCCCAAGAGCAAGGAGCGUAGAUACAGGUGAUGAAAUCGAAAGCAAGAAAUUAAACAGUGUGACGUCUGCUCUCUGAGGACCGCGCAGCCCACCUUCUUGUUUCUCCUCUCCCACGGCCCAUCGCCCGGUGGGUCAAGGAGGCAGCGAAGCCCAGUCUCAGCCCACGUGGCGUCACGGCUGCAAACCAGGAGACAACUGAAUGCAGACAGGCUGGUCCUGGCUGCUGCCACUCUAGAAGGGAACAGGAUUUUUCCAGCAGCAGAUUUGAAUGGAUCGUUCGACACCACCUGGCACCACAGAUGGCAAACCCGCCCCCGAACCAGCACUCGAGCUUCACCGGCGGCACCAGUUUGGACUAGGCGGGAUGGCUGCGGGGACAGGUUUUCGGACUCGGUGCGUUCGGGGUCCAGAGGGAAGCCCCGAAGAAGACGGCGCGACAGGUGAGGGAGGGAAGAUGAACAGAACCAAGGCGGGGGGGUCCCGGGGGAAGAGAAAGCCGAGGGCGCAUCUGGCAAGGGACGAUGACCAGCGGUUCCUUCUCCCCGGGGAUCGGGACGAGGAGGAAAUAGACCUAAACUGCGGCGGGAAAUGAGGAACCUAGAUUAAACUGCAGGAGGGGGCCAAGUAA